rnacentral:rRNA from 1 species
UACGUAUGGAGCAAGCGUUCUCCGGAUUUACUGGGUGUAAAGGGAGCGUAGGCGGCAGACUAAGUCUGAUGUGAAAACCCGCGGCCCAACCGCGGGACUGCAUUGGAAACUGGUCAGCUAGAGUGUCGGAGGGGCAAGUGGAAUUCCCAGUGUAGCGGUGAAAUGCAUAGAUAUUGGGAGGAACACCAGUGGCGAAGGCGGCUUGCUGGACGAUCACUGACGCUGAGACUCGAAAGCGUGGGGAG